UGAAGGAGUACCAGGAGCUGCUGAACAUCAAGAUUGCCCUGGAUGUGGAGAUUGCCAUGUACAGGAAGCUGCUGGAGGGAGAGGAGAACAGGUACCAUUCUUUAUUUGUGUCUAUUUGACUAAACCAUUCUUGAUAGACUAUUCUAUGUGUGGAUUGGGUCUUGUCCUAACCCACUGGAGAUUAAAGUCAUAUUUUAAACAUGCUUUAAUUCUUAGCCCUACUCAAAAAUGUUUUGCAUCUUUCUUAUAAGAGGUGGCUUUGGUGUUGCUUAUUUGUGUUAAGAAAUAAUUGGGAAAAUCAGAAAGAAUUUGGAAAAUACAUACAGUAAAUAAAAAAGGAAAAUCUCAGCUGAAAAAGCUUGCACUUCCAGUAAGACUAACUGGUACUGUUUUCAUUUUCAGGCUUUGCAACGACGGCAUGUCCAACGUGAAUGUCUCUGUGGUAGGCAGGACCACCAUGUCCGGAGGCCGAGGAGGCAUGGGAGGAGGCUUCGGAGGCAGCGGCAUGGGAGGAGGCUUCGGCGGCAGCGGCAUGGGAGGAGGCUUUGGCGGCAGCGGCAUGGGAGGAGGCUUCGGCGGCAGCGGCAUGGGAGGAGGAAUGGGAGGAGGAGUAUGUGGAGUAGGAGGAGGCGUUGGAGGUGGAAGCUCUGGAGGCAGCUGUGGCAUGGGAGGAGGAAUGUACAGCGGAGGCUUCUCUUCUGGAAGUGGAAGGAUGUGCGCGUCUGGAGGUGGCAACUUCAGCUCCGGUGGGGGAUCCUCCUCCGUCCGCAGAUGUGUCACAACCACCUCCGUCAAGUCUUCAGGAGUAAGGUUCUGAGCCCUGAAGGCAGAUCGAGAAACAAAAGAAGCUUCUCCUCCCCUCUCCUGGCAGCAGCCCAGCCUCCUUAAAUCCGACUCCAGUAUCCCGCAAGGAAACGAACUGUGUCCCUCUCGGUCCACCACCUACCCGCUGGGCCUCCGGGCUCCUUCGCAGGAGGGGAGCCUCGUGGCCGUGCCACACUGCUCACUAGCCCCAUGCCCAGCGAUGAAUAACUGAGCAAAGAAAAGUGUCUCGUGUGGAUACCCAGUGCGGAGAGCUGAUUUAAAGGAGGGAAAUGCUCUGCCUUUCUUGCUGCCUUGUACAUUUCUAGCUGCCUUGUGGCAAACGUGUAUAAAAACACUCUCUGUGCCUAUUCCGUCAGGUUGCUUCCUAGAUGGCCGUAUCCCUGGGGUGCUUCUGCAUGCAGUACAUCCUGCUUCCAUUCACUUGUGCUGCGGGGCAUGGCAGGCAGGGGCAAGUGGACUCCUCCCUUGGCAGAGCCGGGGAGCGAGCAGCCUCUCUGCAGGCGACCAGAGGGACAAAUUGUCCCGGGGCGAAGCACCUGGGCAGCUUUAGGUGCUUGGAGUCUCCUGCUAGACGCAGGAGCACUCUCGAGCCGUGGCUUCGGGCUCCACUUGCCCUUGCUCCAUGGUACCUGCUGACACCUCCUGCCCGCGUGGACUCUUUGCAAAGAAAACCAAACUUGCUUUUCUGCGCUAGGCCCGCUGUGACAUGGAACCAGAUGUACUGUGCCCCCUCCUUUCCUUUCUGUGUGUGAUAUGUCCUUGGGAUGUUGCCAUUCUCAAUAAAUUGCAGAGAACAUUCA
rnacentral:lncRNA from 1 species